ACAGUGUGGCCAUACCACGUGGUUUGUGACGUCAUUUUUGCUAGCACGCUAAGAAGAAAUUUGUCAACAUUGGCCCCGCUUAGAAAUUUCAAAUCCACAUACACAUGAUGACGACCGAAGAGCGAUAUAUUUGUGCCACAUGCGCCAGAGGGUACAAGCACAGGCGCAAUUUGGUUUACCAUGAAAGAACACACGCUGAGAUGUUACCCUUUAACUGUUGCGGCGUUGGGUUUUCAUCAAGACGACAAUUACAAAGACACAGGUGCAAUGUACACGGUGACGGAAAAAACUAUCUUUGCCUUUAUUGUGGAAAAGAAUUCGCAACGAAAGUAGAUUUAGAUGCCCACUCGGCCCGGGAAAAGCGCACUCGAGAGAUCGAGUGCGAGAUAUGCAACCACAAGGCCACAACACGGGCUCAUCUCCGAGAACAUCUCAAAACACACAGCGAGGAAAAAACACACGUUUGCCAUGUGUGCAAAGCCGCCUAUAAACAUAUAAGUUCACUGUAUAGGCACUAUGGGCAAAAGCACAAAUGACGUCUAUACAGUGGUUUUACCUGUUUGUGAUUUAUUUGUGAUUUACCCGUGAUUUAUUUUUUAUUUAUCCGUGAUUGAAUUGUUGCGAUAAAAGCAUAAUCAAUAGAUCUCAAGUAUAAUUAACAUUUGAACCGUAUCUGUUUAUACCACGAUGUUUACUUGUUGCGGUUUUUUUACUUUUUAUUGUUUUUUUUUAUGUUUUGUUAAUGCUACUGUUAUAUUAUAGCAGUUGUGAUUUGUAUUGUGAUUAAAAUGUAAUUUUAUAAUUGUGAUUAAUGCUUUAUAAUCAGAUCUCAAGCAUAAUUAACAUUUGAAUCGUAAGUGUUUUUACCACGAUGUUAACUUGUUGCGUUUCUUUUCUUUGUAUUGUAUUUUAUUAUUUUGUUAACGCUACUGUUAUAUUAUAGCAAUUGUGAUUUAGAUUGUGAUUUACAUGUGAUUUAUUGAUGCCAUUUAACAUUGUUUCAUUAAUUAAAAUUAUUAAUCAAACAUACACUGCGUUGGGUUAAUUUCUGAAACAAAAUCUUGAACACUCUUCGUUGUUCGUUAACUGCAUGGAGCAAAUCAAACGUAAAAAGCAAAGACAACUGAGCAUUUGUGUAAUAUUAUAGUUUGCUUUUAUCAAAAAUUUCUCAAUUAUCUAUGUGACACACAAUGCUUAAUGCCGAAAUAUAAAAUGGAGUAUUACAUUAGGGAAGUUUAAAUAU